UACGUAGGGUCCGAGCGUUGCCCGGAAUUAUUGGGCGUAAAGGGCUCGUAGGCGGUUUGUCGCGUCGGGAGUGAAAACACCGGGCUUAACUCGGUGCUUGCUUUCGAUACGGGCAGACUGGAGGUAUGCAGGGGAGAACGGAAUUCCUGGUGUAGCGGUGAAAUGCGCAGAUAUCAGGAGGAACACCGGUGGCGAAGGCGGGUCUCUGGGCAGUAACUGACGCUGAGGAGCGAAAGCGUGGGGAGCGAACAGG
rnacentral:rRNA from 1 species